rnacentral:rRNA from 1 species
AUUGAACGCUGGCGGCAGGCCUAACACAUGCAAGUCGAGCGGAUGAAGGGAGCUUGCUCCUGGAUUCAGCGGCGGACGGGUGAGUAAUGCCUAGGAAUCUGCCUGGUAGUGGGGGAUAACGUCCGGAAACGGGCGCUAAUACCGCAUACGUCCUGAGGGAGAAAGUGGGGGAUCUUCGGACCUCACGCUAUCAGAUGAGCCUAGGUCGGAUUAGCUAGUUGGUGGGGUAAAGGCCUACCAAGGCGACGAUCCGUAACUGGUCUGAGAGGAUGAUCAGGCACACUGGAACUGAGACACGGUCCAGACUCCUACGGGAGGCAGCAGUGGGGAAUAUUGGACAAUGGGCGAAAGCCUGAUCCAGCCAUGCCGCGUGUGUGAAGAAGGUCUUCGGAUUGUAAAGCACUUUAAGUUGGGAGGAAGGGCAGUAAGUUAAUACCUUGCUGUUUUGACGUGACCAACAGAAUAAGCACCGGCUAACUUCG